AUGUGUGUUAUUUGAGUCUCACCGUGCAUAAGACCGAGUGCAGUUCAGCACAAACUUUCACUGUCGCUGCGCGGGGUUUGGUCCACUAUGUCUCAGUCCACACUGUAUCCUCAGUUUAGACUUGGCGAGUCUCGGUUUGAUCAGGGGUCCUUUUAUGGGAGGUUAAGACAUUUCCUGGAUGUGAUUGACCCUCGCACGCUCUUUGUAUCAGAGAGUCAUCUAAAUGAAUGUGUGAAACUCUUAGAACACUUUAAAGAUGGCACUCUACCCACAGGUGUGACAAAUGCACAGCUUUGGGAGGCUCAGAAGGUAAAACAGGCCAUCUUCCAUCCAGACACUGGAGAGAAGAUCCCCAUGCCCUUUCGCAUGUCAGGUUAUAUCCCCUUUGGUACCCCAGUGGUUGUGGGUCUCCUACUUCCCAAUCAGACCUUGGCAUCUACUAUAUUCUGGCAGUGGUUGAACCAGAGCCAUAAUGCUUGUGUGAACUACUGCAAUCGUAACGCAUCUAAGUCUACAGGGAUGUCAAAAUUCUUUCAGGGAUACCUGGGUGCAGUCAGCAGUGCAGUUACCAUUGCAGUGGGACUGAAUGUUCUGAUUCAGAGAGCUGAGCGUUUCAGCCCAGCCACAAGACUUAUGGUCCAAAGAUUCAUCCCUUUUCCUGCUGUUGCAAGUGCCAAUGUGUGUAAUGUGUUGCUGAUGCGCCACAGUGAGCUGUCUGAAGGCAUCAGUGUGCUGGAUGAGCAUGGUAACAUAGUGGCCACCUCUAAGCUGGCAGCCAGACGCGCUGUGUUGGAGACAGCUGUGACCCGUGUAGUCCUGCCCAUGCCUAUCCUGGUGCUGCCACCCAUGCUGAUGGCCAUGCUGGAGAGACUCCCCUUACUGCAGACGUACCCUCGCCUUGUGCUGCCCGUGCACAGUGUGGUGUGUCUCUGUGCAUUUAGUCUGGCUCUGCCCGUUGCCAUCAGUCUGUUCCCCCAGAAUAGCCAGAUUCAUGUAUCUCUGCUUGAGCCAGAGAUCUCUGCAGCAACUGGAUGCAAGUUCCUGACCUACAACAAAGGCCUUUAACCAAUUUACUAGCUUGGCACUAUGCGAUAAACGACUCAGGAGACUCAUGACUCGGAUGUGUGUGUGGAUUUUAGAAUCACUUGCACACCGUGACAGGUGCAUUCACACACCAGCGCUAAUCACUUGUCUUCAUUGCAGGCUGUAAGUUGAGUGAUGUGGACUUUUGUCUUAUCAUUAGAGCCAUCUACAGAUCUGGAAGGAGGGGCCCUUUGUUUUUCUACCUGGUUCUCAUGGCAACAUGUCACGGUGGGCCAUGGUGAUAGAGGGUGGGACAUGAAGCUGCAUGCACAAUCAUUAACCAUAUAGAACAGCCUUAGGGAUGCCACACACACACACACACACACACACACACACACAUAUUUACUACAUUAAACCCUUAAACCGUGCUCAAAGCCUUCAUUCAUUUUAAACUGUCAGUUGUACUGUCUUAAAAAAAAGAUUAACUAGAUUCUCAUGGCAUGUCACGAAAUCAGCAUUUGCUUAGUUCUUGCUUUAUUUCAACUUUUAAGGAUGCUUAUCAUUAUCAUUAUUUAUUUUAAUUCAUUUCAUCUUUAAUAAUAUAAAGCAAAAUUUUGCCAUUUUGACACAUGGACAGUCUUGGCAAUACGGCUUGUAUAUUCAUGUAUAUUUUCCCUACACAUGCAUUUCUAUUUAGAAAUUUACAAGAUUUGUCUUAUGAGUAAGCAAAGCAUCCUAUACUUGUGCCUAUUUUUCACUACAGAGUAACAGGUCACCAGAAGUGAUAUUUUCCAAGUAAGCUAUAUGUAUGGUAUAUAUAGAGAGAUUCUUCAUGAAAAUAUAUAACAUGCAAUAAGUGGUAUUUAAAGCUCAAACAUACAAACAUUUUAUUAUUAUUUCAAACAAGAAGUUUUUCUUACCAUUAAUAUCUUGUAUCGCCUGCCCUGUAGUGUCUAACAAGGUUGGAGACACUUGUUGAUGGAUCUUGGACCACUCCUUCAUGUCCUCUUCGAUUCAGACCACAGGUUUCCAAUAGGGUUCAAAUCCAGAGACUGAGCUGGUCAUUGCAGAGCACUGAUUUUUUUUUGUUUCUGUUGAAGUUUCUGUGCAGAUUUGGAAGUAUAUUUGGCUCAUCAUCGUGAAAUCUUGAAAGGUGAAAGUGUACAUAUGGCCAAAUCUGAACCUCCUGGCAGACUCGGUCAUGCUUGGCAGAAUUCAUGAUGCCAUCAUUCUUUACAAGUUCACUUGAACCACCAGCCAAAAACCAGCCCCAAGGCAUCAGUGAUCCACUGUAUUUUACAGCAGGUUUCAGGUGCUUUUUGUUGUAUGCAGUCCUCUUUUUAUCACCAAAGAUGCUGAUGGUAUGCACGACCUAAAGGUUUGAUUUUAGUCUCAUCUGACCACACACACAAUGCCAUCUGUAGUUCUAAUGACACUUGGUGAAGUUCAGAUGCUGCAUUUUAUAAGACGCUCUCAGGAAGGGCUUCUUUCUGGCAACGCUUCCAAACAGCUUGUUGUUAUGAAAGUGGUAUUUAACAGUUUAUUUUGAAACUUGACAACCACAAGAAAUAAACUGUGCAAUUCUAAAACUGUCAUCUCUGAGUAUUUUCCCCUCCUUCACCUUCAUCCUCAUUGUGUGUGUUGCAGCAUUUUCCUAGGUCCAGUUCCAGCUGUUUCAGACAUGUGAAACUUUUUGUUAUGGCCCUAUUGUUCUUAAUGGCAUUUUUCUUUACUAUUUUUUAU